rnacentral:rRNA from 1 species
GACGAACGCUGGCGGCGGGCUUAACACAUGCAAGUCGAACGGAAAGGCCCUGCUUUUGUGGUGUUCUCGAGUGGCGAACGGGUGAGUAACACGUGAGUAACCUGCCCUUGACUUUGGGAUAACUUCAGGUAACUGGGGCUAAUACCGGAUCGGAGCUCCUGCUGCAUGGUGGGGGUUGGAAAGUUUCGGCGGUUGGGGAUGGACUCGCGGCUUAUCAGCUUGUUGGUGGGGUAGUGGCUUACCAAGGCUGUGACGGGUAGCCAGCCUGAGAGGGUGACCGGCCACAAUGGGACUGAGAUACGGCCCAGACUGCUACGGGAGGCAGCAGUGGGGAAUAUUGCACAAUGGGCGGAAGCCUGAUGCAGAAACGCCGCGUGCGGGAUGACGGCCUUCGGGUUGUAAACCGCUUUCGCCUGUGACGAAGCGUGAGUGACGGUAAUGGAUAAAGAAGCACCGGCUAACUACGUG